UGGGGAAUUUUGGACAAUGGGCGCAAGCCUGAUCCAGCCAUACCGCGUGAGUGAAGAAGGCCUUCGGGUUGUAAAGCUCUUUUGGCGGGGACGAUAAUGACGGUACCCGCAGAAUAAGCCCCGGCUAACUACGUGCCAGCAGCCGCGGUAAUACGUAGGGACCAAGCGUUGUUCGGAUUUACUGGGCGUAAAGGGCGCGUAGGCGGCAUGACAAGUCACUUGUGAAAUCUCUGGGCUUAACCCAGAACGGCCAAGUGAUACUGUCGCGCUAGAGUGCAGAAGGGGCAAUCGGAAUUCUUGGUGUAGCGGUGAAAUGCGUAGAUAUCAAGAGGAACACCUGAGGUGAAGACGGGUUGCUGGGCUGACACUGACGCUGAGGCGCGAAAGCCAGGGGAGCAAACGGGAUUAGAUACCCGCGUAGUCCCUGAGCGGGCUGGCAAGGCGCAU
rnacentral:rRNA from 1 species